rnacentral:rRNA from 1 species
CCUACGGGAGGCAGCAGCAGGGGAUCUUGCGCAAUGGGUGAAAGCCUGACGCAGCGAUGCCGCGUGGGGGAUGAAGGCCUUCGGGUUGUAAACCCCUUUUCCCGGGGAGGAAUUCCGACGUUACCCGGGGAAUAAGCCUCGGCCAACUACGUGCCAGCAGCCGCGGUAAUACGUAGGAGGCAAGCGUUGUCCGGAUUUAUUGGGUGUAAAGGGCGAGUAGGCGGCUCGGUAAGUCGGUGGUGAAAUCUCCGGCCUAACCGGGAGGGGUCUGCCGAUACUAUCGGGCUUGAGGGCAGCAGAGGAAGGUGGAAUUCCCGGUGUAGUGGUGAAAUGCGUAGAUAUCGGGAGGAACACCAGUGGCGAAGGCGGCCUUCUGGGCUGUUCCUGACGCUGAGGCGCGAAAGCGUGGGGAGCGAACCGGAUUAGAUACCCUAGUAGU